rnacentral:misc_RNA from 1 species
UCUCCGUUGGUGAACCAGCGGAGGGAUCAUUACAAGAAGCCGAAAGGCUACUUAACACCAUUGCGAACUCGUCCAUGUUGCUUCGGCGGAAGCGCGGCACCCUGCCUCGGCCGGGAGCCGCCGGACUCGUGCCCCCCUUGGGGAGUACGGGGCCGCCGCCGGAGGUAUGAAACUCUGUAUUUUACUGGAUCUCUGAUUAAAAAACAAAUAAGUUAAAACUUUCAACAACGGAUCUCUUGGUUCUG